CGAGCGGACAGAAGGGAGCUUGCUCCCGGAUGUUAGCGGCGGACGGGUGAGUAACACGUGGGUAACCUGCCUGUAAGACUGGGAUAACUCCGGGAAACCGGAGCUAAUACCGGAUAGUUCCUUGAACCGCAUGGUUCAAGGAUGAAAGACGGUUUCGGCUGUCACUUACAGAUGGACCCGCGGCGCAUUAGCUAGUUGGUGAGGUAACGGCUCACCAAGGCGACGAUGCGUAGCCGACCUGAGAGGGUGAUCGGCCACACUGGGACUGAGACACGGCCCAGACUCCUACGGGAGGCAGCAGUAGGGAAUCUUCCGCAAUGGACGAAAGUCUGACGGAGCAACGCCGCGUGAGUGAUGAAGGUUUUCGGAUCGUAAAGCUCUGUUGUUAGGGAAGAACAAGUGCAAGAGUAACUGCUUGCACCUUGACGGUACCUAACCAGAAAGCCACGGCUAACUACGUGCCAGCAGCCGCGGUAAUACGUAGGUGGCAAGCGUUGUCCGGAAUUAUUGGGCGUAAAGGGCUCGCAGGCGGUUUCUUAAGUCUGAUGUGAAAGCCCCCGGCUCAACCGGGGAGGGUCAUUGGAAACUGGGAAACUUGAGUGCAGAAGAGGAGAGUGGAAUUCCACGUGUAGCGGUGAAAUGCGUAGAGAUGUGGAGGAACACCAGUGGCGAAGGCGACUCUCUGGUCUGUAACUGACGCUGAGGAGCGAAAGCGUGGGGAGCGAACAGGAUUAGAUACCCUGGGUAGUC
rnacentral:rRNA from 1 species